rnacentral:misc_RNA from 1 species
AAGUCGUAACAAGGUUUCCGUAGGUGAACCUGCGGAAGGAUCAUUAAAGUAUAAGUUGUCGCUUGUCGACUCUAUAUUUUGUGAAUUCAUAGAAUUGAAUUAAUUUGGGGUUUGAAAAGGUUUGCCGCAAGGUGAACGACCCCAAACACCUUUAAACAUAAACUAUUUAUCAAUGACUGACUGUUAUUUCAAUUUAUAAUUGACAAAAUAACUUUCAACAACGGAUCUCUUGGUUCUC